rnacentral:rRNA from 1 species
UACGAAGGGGGCUAGCGUUGCUCGGAAUCACUGGGCGUAAAGCGCACGUAGGCGGAUUGCUAAGUCAGGGGUGAAAUCCUGGAGCUCAACUCCAGAACUGCCUUUGAUACUGGCGAUCUUGAGUCCGGGAGAGGUGAGUGGAACUGCGAGUGUAGAGGUGAAAUUCGUAGAUAUUCGCAAGAACACCAGUGGCGAAGGCGGCUCACUGGCCCGAUACUGACGCUGAGGCGCGAAAGCGUGGGGAGCAAUCCGG